AAUCGCUUGGGUGGGUAAAGGGUGUAUAUACGUAUAUCAUAAGACUGGUUAUGUAGACGUGCGGCAGUGGGAAUAUCUCUUGAAAGCCUGGAUUUAUUCCAUGUGCAAAGGCAAUGAUGAAUUUCACAUGUCAGGAACAUGCAAACAUAUUGACUACUAUUGAUAAACACAAAGGAAGAGGCUAGCUCUGAUUAAAGAACAAAUGUUGCAGCAUGUUACUACAAAUCCAUCAUUGCUCAACGUAGGCAGGCCGGGCAGCUUCCUGCUACUGAAAUACACAGGGAGCACACACAUCAGAACAUGGCAAUAUCAAACAAACCAUCUACAACAACAGCCUGAGGGUCCCCUAUCAUUUCAUGAUGAUUAUGUCAUUUCUCUAAUGAUAAAUGCCAUUUACAGGAUGAACCUGGUGUUGGAAGAAAUGUUCAUUUCUAAGAAGUGGCAAUUAUGGUUUUGAUAGUGAAAUUAUCAGCUGUCUGGGAAAGUCAGUCUCAUGAUGAACACAACCAAAUAUGUAGGAGCCCAUUUCAAGUGAAAAUUUUGAAGUCAAAUAUGAUAUUGAACUUUAGGCCUUAUCAUUACUCAAAAUGUAUGUAUCACAAAGAAGUGUCCUAUAUGAACAGAGAUAUCUUGGAGAGUCUACAUCUUGCAGCAACCAUUAGGCAAUCAGUGCAUUCAAACCCAGAAGCACCCAGUUCAAGCGACCCAACACAAUUCUGUCUCUUUGGUUACCACACUUAAUAAUCAAUUAGAAACACAUUUUCUGCUCUUAUGAUUUUUGCGUUUUUGUUUCAAGUAACGCAAUCCUAAUGCAACAAAACUCAUUUCUUAACUCAGAUCUGAGGAUCUAUGACACUUCAAAAAGCACAAAGAUGAACAUACAUAAUAGGUGUUACAACUGGAGGAUACGAAACACUUAAAUCAUCAUUCAGGUUUCAUGAAUAAAGCAAGCAAGUGGAAUUCUGAAUAAUUUUUGUGUAUUCUAUAACAUACAAUACAUCUUAAACAUAACAUUUGUAAUAUACUCCAGAACAAUUAACAUUCCGAUCGUUUAACUAUUUUCUAAUUGUUUGCAUCAUUAAGAACACAAAUACAGAAAAUUUCUCACUGGAUAACCAAGAAAACAACUUGAGAAAAACAGGGGCACCAGCUGAAAUCAGGAAGGACAUUAAUUGUGUGGGCAAAGAAUUGUGGUCUUUUUUGUACCUAAGAAUUGUUUUGAGAUUAUUUAUUUGCGCAGGUAAUCACAAAAAUUUCUAGUUUUUGCGAACUGAUGCUGCAAAUGAUAUGAAAAUAAAACCCACGCAUAUCAUUUGUACACAGUAAAACAUUUCGCACAACCCUGCAUUAUUUAACAUCUGUAUGCUUCAGUCCUUGAAAUAUUAUCUUCAUAAAAUAUUGUGCAGUCCGAGUGAUCAUCUUAAUUUGCUUCAAAAUAAACACAUUCACAACAUGAAAUAUUGUAAUCUGCUCUUUUAAAGAAAAUAUAUCUUUAAAAUUUUUUAAAUAAAAAUCAGGUGAAAACAA